rnacentral:rRNA from 1 species
CAGCCAGCUGCGAGAUUUGGUGUGAAUUGCAGAACACUCAGAUCGCUGAUUAUUCGAACGCACAUUGCGGCUCCUUACCCUUCACGGGGGAGCCUCGCCUGUCCGAGGGUCGCGUGAAACUUGCAGAGGACUCUCGCGCCCGGAGAGUCCGAGUCGGCCCCGUCGGAUGCCACGUCCGUGGGCUCAGAGGAGGCCGGGUUCGGGUCCCCAGGGAUCUGCCGGAAGGCGGAAGGCCAGGGAUCCGGCCCGAAACGUCUCCACUUGAAAAAGCGGGGGAACAAAAACUUUAAAUGCGACCUCGGAUCAGACGAGACCACCCGCCAAACUUAAGCAUAUC